AUGCAGUAGUAGAAGGCAAAUCAGCUCCAUCACCAUCACCAUCGCCAUCGCCAUCGCCAGAAGAAGAAACAAGAGUCCAAUCAGGAGGUAGGGGAGGUAAAGGAGCAUAAACAGUGGGCUUGCGCUUUAUGUCCCAUGGUUGACUCUUUCUUGGCCUUGUUUUCCUGUGAUGUGCAGUUGCCUUCUUCUGUGGCCUUGAAGAACACUCUAUCGACAUCCCACCAUGACCAAAACCAGUGCCUAUUGGGACCGUUUUGAACUCGCCAUUGACAGGCUUGAAAGACGGUGUAGUCGAGGGUUU
rnacentral:lncRNA from 1 species